rnacentral:snRNA from 1 species
GAUUUCUUAAAAACUCUAAGACUAAACUGGAACAAGUUAUGGAGAAAUUAGCAUAGUCCCUGCACAACAGAUGACAUGCAAAUUUGUAAAGUGUUCAUUAUUUAA